rnacentral:rRNA from 1 species
AAUAGAUACCCAGGUAGUCCAUGCCGUAAACGUUGGGCACUAGGUGUGGGACCCAUUCCACGGGUUCCGUGCCGCAGCUAACGCAUUAAGUGCCCCGCCUGGGGAGUACGGCCGCAAGGCUAAAACUCAAAGAAAUUGACGGGGGCCCGCACAAGCGGCGGAGCAUGCGGAUUAAUUCGAUGCAACGCGAAGAACCUUACCAAGGCUUGACAUACACCGGAAAAGUGCAGAGAUGUGCUCCCCGUAAGGUCGGUGUACAGGUGGUGCAUGGUUGUCGUCAGCUCGUGUCGUGAGAUGUUGGGUUAAGUCCCGCAACGAGCGCAACCCUCGUCCCAUGUUGCCAGCGGGUUAUGCCGGGGACUCAUGGGAGACUGCCGGGGUCAACUCGGAGGAAGGUGGGGAUGACGUCAAAGUCAUCAUGCCCCUUAUGUCUUGGGCUUCACGCAUGCUACAAUGGCCGGUACAAAGGGCUGCGAUACCGUAAGGUGGAGCGAAUCCCAAAAAGCCGGUCUCAGUUCGGAUUGGGGUCUGCAACUCGACCCC